rnacentral:rRNA from 1 species
UACGUAGGGGGCGAGCGUUUGUCCGGAUUCAUUGGGCGUAAAGCGCGCGUAGGCGGCAGGGCAAGUCGGCCGUGAAAUCUCCCAGCUUAACUGGGAGGGGUCGGGCGAGACUGCCCCGCUAGAGGCGGGUAGAGGGCAGUGGAAUUCCGGGUGUAGUGGUGGAAUGCGUAGAGAUCCGGAGGAACACCAGUGGCGAAGGCGGCUGCCUGGGCCUGGCCUGACGCUGAGGCGCGAAAGCGUGGGGAGCGAGUCCGG